rnacentral:rRNA from 1 species
GUGAGGAAUAUUGCGCAAUGGGCGAAAGCCUGACGCAGCAACGCCGCGUGUAGGAUGAAAUCCUUCGGGAUGUAAACUACUGUUGAAGGGGAAGAAUAUCCUGAUUUAUCGGGAGAUGACGGUACCCUUAGAGAAAGCCACGGCUAACUCUGUGCCAGCAGCCGCGGUAAUACAGGGGUGGCAAGCGUUGUCCGGAAUUACUGGGUGUAAAGGGUGCGUAGGCGGGUGGAUAAGUCAGUGGUAAAAUCCUACAGCUUAACUGUAGACCCACCAUUGAUACUGUUCAUCUUGAGUGCAAGAAAGAAGAUUGGAAUUCCCAGUGUAGCGGUGAAAUGCGUAGAGAUUGGGAAGAACACCAGUAGCGAAGGCGGAUCUUUGGCUUGUAACUGACGCUGAUGCACGAAAGCGCGGGGAGCAAACAGGAUUAGAAACCCGGGUAGUCC